rnacentral:rRNA from 1 species
UACGUAGGCAGCAAGCGUUGUUCGGAAUUACUGGGCGUAAAGAGUGUGUAGGCGGUGUUCUAAGUCUGGUGUGAAAUCUCCCGGCUCAACUGGGAGGGUGCGCUAGAAACUGGAAUGCUAGAGGAUGGGAGAGGUAAGCGGAAUUCCUGGUGUAGCGGUGAAAUGCGUAGAUAUCAGGAGGAACACCUGUGGUGUAGACAGCUUACUGGACCAUUCUGACGCUGAGACACGAAAGCGUGGGUAGCAAACAGG